GUAGGGAAUCUUCCACAAUGGACGCAAGUCUGAUGGAGCAACGCCGCGUGAGUGAAGAAGGUCUUCGGAUCGUAAAGCUCUGUUGUUGGUGAAGAAGGAUAGAGGCAGUAACUGGUCUUUAUUUGACGGUAAUCAACCAGAAAGUCACGGCUAACUACGUGCCAGCAGCCGCGGUAAUACGUAGGUGGCAAGCGUUGUCCGGAUUUAUUGGGCGUAAAGCGAGCGCAGGCGGAAUGAUAAGUCUGAUGUGAAAGCCCACGGCUCAACCGUGGAACUGCAUCGGAAACUGUCAUUCUUGAGUGCAGAAGAGGAGAGUGGAACUCCAUGUGUAGCGGUGGAAUGCGUAGAUAUAUGGAAGAACACCAGUGGCGAAGGCGGCUCUCUGGUCUGCAACUGACGCUGAGGCUCGAAAGCAUGGGUAGCGAACAGGAUUAGAAACCCUGGUAGUCC
rnacentral:rRNA from 1 species